rnacentral:lncRNA from 1 species
CCCCCUUCCCCUUUCCCUGACGCAGCAAGUUUUAUGCAUGACCAUGCCAUCACUAUAUUCACGAGCAGCUCAUUAUUAAUGAUGACAUACAGAUAAGGAAGCAAAAUCUAUCACCAAGCCAUCAGACCAUCACAUAAGAAGCUACAUGAUGUUUUCUAGAAAUUUAGACAACACAAUCGACGAGACAAUAGUACCAAGCUUCAACGAUACAAAUGUUAGAAUAGCAUAUUACAUUCAGCUAAUACAAAUUGCCAUGAGUGCAACAUCACAACUGACAAAGCAAGUACAAUAUGUAACUUAGUAUAAGAGAUUUAGCUAGUUAAAUACACCAAUGAACUGCUAUUCAACAUCCUGUCUCUUCAUGCUCCUCAACCCUCAUUGAUUCUGACAAAAAAGAACAGUAGCCAAUAUUGAAAAGUCCAAUUGAAACAGAAGUUGUAUUCAUCAUGUGAAGUGGGCACAAGCUGCACUUAAGGCAGA